AUUUACACUCCCACCAACGGUGUAGAAGUGUUCCUUUUUCUCCACAUCCUCUCCAGCAUCUGUUGUCUCCAGAUUUUUUAAUGAUCGCCAUUCUAACUGGCGUGAGAUGGUAUCUCAAUGCGGUUUUGAUUUGCAUCUCUCCGAUGACCAGUGACGAUGAGCAUUUUUUCAUAUGAUUGUUGGCCUCAUAUAUGUCUUCUUUCGUAAAGUGUCUGUUCAUAUCCUUUGCCCACUUUUGAAUGGGCUUGUUUGUUUUUUUCCUGUAAAUCUGUUUUUUGUAAAUUCUGGAUAUCAGCCCUUUGUCAGAUGGGUAAACUGCAAAAAUUUUUUUCCAUUCUGUUGGUUGCCGAUCCACUCUAGUGACUGUUUCUUUUGCCGUGCAGAAGCUGUGAAGUUUGAUUAGGUCCCAUUUGUCUAUUUUGGCUUUUGUUGCCAAUGCUUUUGGUGUUUUGUUCAUGAAGUCCUUGCCUACUCCUAUGUCCUGGAUAGUUUUACCUAGAUUUCCUUCUAGGGUUUUUAUGGUGCCAGGUCUUAUGUUUAAGUCUUUAAUCUAUCUGGAGUUAAUUUUAGUGUAAGGUGUCAGGAAGGGGUCCAGUUUCUGCUUUCUGCACAUGGCUAGCCAGUUUUCCCAACACCAUUUGUUAAACAGGGAAUCCUUUCCCCCUUGCUUGUUUUUGUCAGGUUUAUCAAAGAUUGUAUGGUUGUAGAUAUGUUGUGUUGCCUCCGGUGCCUCUGUUUUGUUCCAUUGGUCUAUAUGUCUGUUUUGGUACCAGUACCAUGCUGUUUUGAUUACUGUAGCCUUGUAGUAUAGUUUCAAAUCUGGUAGUGUGAUGCCCCCUGCUGUGUUCUUUUUGCUUAGAAUUGACUUGGCUAUGCGGGCUCUCUUUUGGUUCCAUAUGAAGUUCAUGGUGGUUUUUUCCAGUUCUGUGAAGAAAGUCAAUGGUAGCUUGAUGAGGAUAGCGUUGAUUCUGUAAACUACUUUGGGCAGUAUAGCCAUUUUCACGAUAUUAAUUCUUCCUAACCAUGAUCCCUGUGGUCAAGAGAAGUCGGUGUACUGAAAAAUGAAAGACAAGAAAGUAGACAAAUUGAAAAGCAGUAUGAUUUGAGUUCCAAUGAAGGCAUGAAAUCAGCAUUGCCUAAACUUUAUCUUUAUGAUCAGGA
rnacentral:lncRNA from 1 species